GUGCUCACUGCAGCAGUGCAUGCACUGAAACAGGGAUGACAAGGAGAGGAUCAGCAUGGCCUCUGCACAAAGAUGACCCACAGAUUCAUGAAGCCUUGCAAUAGUUA
ensembl:snRNA U6 U6 spliceosomal RNA